rnacentral:tRNA from 1 species
GGGAGGGUAGUUCAAUUGGUAGAACAAUGGUCUCCAAAGCCAUUUGUUGUGGGUUCAAGUCCUGCCUCUCUUG